AGAUUGAACGCUGGCGGCAUGCCUAACACAUGCAAGUCGAACGGGAGUAGCAAUACUCUAGUGGCGGACGGGUGAGGAAUACGUAGGAAUUUGCCCUUAAGUGGGGGAUAACCCGGGGAAACCCGGAUUAAUACCGCAUGACCUCGAAAGAGCAAAGUGGGGGAUCGCAAGACCUCACGCUUUUGGAGAAGCCUACGUCGGAUUAGCUAGUUGGUGAGGUAAUGGCUCACCAAGGCGACGAUCCGUAACUGGUCUGAGAGGAUGAUCAGUCACACCGGAACUGAGACACGGUCCGGACUCCUACGGGAGGCAGCAGGUGGGGAAUAUUGGACAAUGGGG
rnacentral:rRNA from 1 species